GACGGCUGGGUUGGGGCAAAAGCGUUGAAGGGAGAGGGAAAGGAAGGCUUGGAGGCGAUGAGGGGAACCGGGUUGAGAAUGAGAUGAGGAGGAUUAAGGGGAGAAAGGGUUAGAAGCCAGGGAGAGGAGGAGUGAGAAAAAGCCAGCCAAGGAGAUAGGAAGGAGGCAAAAGCCAGGGUGGGCGUUAAGGAAGCCGGGCAGGGAAUGAGGUUAGGGCUGGGGGAAAGGGAUCCUGGGGUUAGGUGUAAGAGCAGGGGUUUGAAGGGGAAAUCUUCGUAGCGGGUGGUGUUGGGGUGAGGGGUACCGGGGUAAGUGUUGGAAGUGGAAGACAAGGAGGGGCAGAGCUGGGGUAAUAGUUGGGAGUAGGAAAGAGAGAGUGAUUAAGAGCCAGACGUGACGAGGGUGUGAACUAGUGCGGAGCGAGAUGAGCUGAAGGACUGGGACCAACGGUGUGGUGGGAACUGCUGGCGAGGUUCUGAGAAAGGAAUGGGUAGUGGGUGGGCGAUGGAUGUAAAUUCUGUAAAGUGAGGGAGGGCAAAUGAGACCUGGACUGGAACCAGGUGGAGUCAGGAAUAAGAGUGUGGUGGAAGGGCGAAAGGAAACAGAUAAGAGAUGGGUGUCUGUAGGACGAUUCUGGGACCAGAAGAGCUGAAAGGAGACUAGAGUUAGGGUGUAAGAAGUGAUGGCCAUCUGGGACAAGGAUAACUGGGUAAUUACGUUAAUUGAAGAGGUUCAGCAAGAUCCAAGGUGAAAACAGUGAGGUAAAGAGACAGGGCUAAAAGCAAAUGGUGAGAGGAGCAGGAAGAGAUGGGCCCCAGAAUUUAAAGGAUGAGAUGGGGAGUAAGGGAAGAGAGGGGGCUAAGAGAAGCUGGGGGAGUCCUGAUGGAUGUAGAACUGGGGUAGACUGCAUGGGGGUGGGAAUCGAAUGUGCGUGUUAUGGGGAGUUGCUCCAGAAGGUCUGCAAGGGUCAGGGCAGAAAUGCUGUAGUGAAAGAUCAAGUUUAAGAGAGCCUUUGGUGCAGAAGACGAGGAACCAUGAUUCUUUGGAUGGGAAGAGACCUUGAAAGGACCUCUAGUUUAUCCUGCAACUCCAGUCAAUAUCCUACUUAAAUCAUUCCAGGUAAUAGAGAAGAGGAAACCUAACCAAUGACUGUGGAAUAAUAUGGAAGAAGAUGGAAAAAACUUGUUUAAUGGACAGAAGACACUUGAGAAUAUUUGUAGCAAGAGGAAGGAAGCAAACAAAAG
rnacentral:lncRNA from 1 species